UAGGGAAUCUUCCACAAUGGACGCAAGUCUGAUGGAGCAACGCCGCGUGAGUGAAGAAGGUUUUCGGACCGUAAAGCUCUGUUGUUGGUGAAGAAGGAUAGAGGUAGUAACUGGCCUUUAUUUGACGGUAAUCAACCAGAAAGUCACGGCUAACUACGUGCCAGCAGCCGCGGUAAUACGUAGGUGGCAAGCGUUGUCCGGAUUUAUUGGGCGUAAAGCGAGCGCAGGCGGAAGAAUAAGUCUGAUGUGAAAGCCCUCGGCUUAACCGAGGAAUUGCAUCGGAAACUGUUUUUCUUGAGUGCAGAAGAGGAGAGUAGAACUCCAUGUGUAGCGGUGGAAUGCGUAGAUAUAUGGAAGAAUACCAGUGGCGAAGGCGGCUCUCUGGUCUGCAACUGACGCUGAGGCUCGAAAGCAUGGGUAGCGAACAGGAUUAGAUACCCUGGUAGUCCAUGCCGUAAACGAUGAGUGCUAAGUGUUGGGAGGCUUCCGCCUCUCAGUGCUGCAGCUAACGCAUUAAGCACUCCGCCUGGGGGAGUACGACCGCAAAGG
rnacentral:rRNA from 1 species